rnacentral:misc_RNA from 1 species
AUUGAGAGUCCAUUUGGCCCGAUUUGUGGUUCUAAGCUGGAAAGUCAAAAUGAGUUGCAUAGAAAGCUGUUGAGAGCUCACUUUUCCAUAUAGCACUUGUUUUGGCCCUUGGCCUCCGUGCACAGUAAUGAAAAGUCUACAUGCUAACUAAGCUAAAGCUAAAAAACCUUGCUAAUUGGAUUGAUUUGAGGGAUGAAGGCGGGUAAUCAUAUUCCUUUUAUUACAGUAAAUGGUAUGUAUUAUACACUAUAUAUAUUCUGCAUCAUAUUAAAUUUGCUUUUAAUAAAAAAAAAUAUAAAAACUUUAGCUCAAAAUUAAAAUAUAAAUUUUUCUUAUUUAAACUUGAUUAAGUAUAGACUAAAGACGCAUAAUAUAUGGUGAUAUUAACUUAUUAUGUAUAUGGAUUCACCAAG